UUUUUUUUGCAUUUGCAAAAAUCUCCAGACAUUAUAUACUUUUUGCCAAAAAGUAUAUAAUGCCCCCCGGCCCCCCGCUUCCGCCGGCCAUGCAAUGUUUUAUAAUCUUUGUUGAUUUACAGACUAUUCUGUGAUUUAACAAGUUUGUGUUGUAGUUUAUAUUUAGUUUUCCGUGGUUUUAGAAGUCAUGUCUGUCCACAUACAAAAUAAACAUGUGCAUUUAUUGAAUGUUGUAGAUAUACGGACACUGUGAUGUGUUAUAAUCUUUGUUGAUUUACAGACUAAUUCUGAAAUUUAACAACAUUUGUGUUGUGGAGAAAACAUGAUUGUUCACAUACGUCAACAUCAUGUGCUUUUUACCAUUUUACUGAAUAUUGUAGCUGAGGCCUACUGACAUUCUGUGUUAAAAUCUUUGUUGAUUUAUACUCUUCUGUAAUUUUCAACAUUAUCUUGUAGUUUAAUUACAUUUGGUUUUCAGUGGUUUUAGAAAACAUAUGUUGUUCACGUACAAUAUAAAAAAUUGUGCAUUUACUCAAUUAAGGGACAAUUGCCGUGUAACCCCAUGUGAUUGACGGGUAUGAUACCGGCAAGGUUCUUCACAAAUGCGUGCAAUAAAAAUAUGAUUUAAUUUAUUUUACACAACUUUCUUAUUCAUUUACUAAUAAUAUUAAUAUUUGUUUUAGAAAAUAAAAUUAUCUUGAAUAAUUACGUUUGACGUAUGUCACGUGACGAAACUUUCCAAUAAGAAGUUUGCGCGGCACUAUUUCUUUCUUUUUCUAUUUCUCUCUAUCGUAUGGCAGUUGUAUGAAGAGUAGGUGGAAGCUGACAAAGACAUUUUAAGCCUUGAUGUACUUGCUCAGUUAUAAAUUCAACAAAGUUUGCAUAAUGGUCAUUGUGAGACACCUUUGUUAAUUGAUGAAGAGUAAAGAUAUUACAGUAGCAUUAGCAUAGAUCGAGAUACACGCAGUUGUACUAUCAAAGAACAAACAGGGAAAAAUGACCACCUGUCCGUGUUGUGGAAACCCAAGAUCAGAACUGUAAAUAAUACUGUGAACAAAAUCAAAGUUCGUCCUUUUUAUCCAACAAGAAUUUGCAACUUCGGGCGCUGGAUUUCCAGCCAGGACUGGUCAGAUAUUACUUGCUGUUUUACCACCCAAGGGAAAAUGGAUAAGUUGUAUGAACUUUUGGACACUGCUAUUAAUGAUUUUUUCCCAAUUAAAGUAGUUAAGAUCCAUUAGUCGGAUAAACCUUGGGUUACUCAAGCCCUGCGAGACUUAAUUGAUAGGAGACAGUUAGCCUUUUUUAAUAACACUACGGAAUGGAGGAAACUUAGAAAUUCUAAACUCCAGGCCAUUUAUUUGUGUAAUCGUGUUAAGUACUUACAGUGUAGUGAACCACACAAGUGGCAUACACAAAUUAAGACCAUGGCAUAUAUGGGUAAUAAUAAGAUACUCAAUGUUCCAGUUCAGGGUCUUUUGCCCUCAGAUUAUGUUGGGAUUGCUAAUGCAAUAAAUAAGCAAUUCACCAGCAUUUCCUGUGAGUUACCACCUUUAGAUUAUAACAAGCUUCCUGCCUAUCUUCCUUCCAUUGAUAGGAUUCCCCAAAUUCAGCCAUGGGAGGUAUAUAAUAAAUUGAAAAAGGUAAAUCCAAAUAAAGCCGGGGGGCCGAAUUGUAUCCCGCCUAGAAUUUUAAGGGAAUUUGCAGUUGAAUUAAGUGAGCCGUUUUCUGAUAUUCUUAAUUGUUCGUUUAGAGAGGGCAGGCUGCCUGUCCAAUGGAAAAAAGCCAUUGUCGUACCCAUCCCUAAAAAUCAGCCACCAAGUAUUGACAGGUUGAGGCCCAUUUCUCCUACCUCCUCGUUUGCCAAGGUGGUUAGAAAACCUACAAUAUCAAAUGGCCAGAAUUAUUCUCAAGGCACCAAGAAAUGUCGCUAAAGAGGCAUUACUUGGGGAUUUAGGUUGGGAACCAAUUUAUCACAUACAAAAUAAGUUUAGAAUGUCCUAUUUUAAUAGACUUA